rnacentral:lncRNA from 1 species
CUAACGGGCCCCAACACACAAGCUGGUAUAUUCUUCAAACCAGAUAAAAUUUUUGAUUGUUUUUAGGCAGCAGAUGGGAAAUGAAUGAAAAUACCAUGGCGCAGGAAUCUAUUUAUUUUCAUAUGGUGUGUAAUUACUAAUUUGCAUUACCGCCUCGGGUGAAAACAAUUCUGUUUUAAUUAGCGUCAUUUCUACUCAAGCUUGUAUUAUUUAAAUGUGAAAACAUUUGCUGUUAACGAGAUUUAUUAUUUAAAUGUAAAAUGUGGAAUUAUCGGAUACACGAUAAAAGAAAUCCGGCAGAUAUGUAAGGGUGCUCUCCUUUUUUUGGAAUUGACACGAGUUACUGCUGAACGACCACUGAAAUACGGAUAGCAAAAUGCGGUAAUAGACAGAAGCGAGAUGAAAGCACGCGAAGAGAUGCAAAACAUCAGCAAUCUGAACAGAAAUGAAAAGAAAUGGAAUGAAAUUGUUAUUGUCGAGAGAUUGUUUGCAAGAUAUUCUAGGGUCAUGUAUACUUAUCUUUCUUUGUAGAAUGUUUGGUAGAAAUUCCCCUUUUUGCUACCCUCGGCCUAUUUCUCUCGCAGUGUGUAAACCCAAUCUUGUGAAGAAAUCUAGGGACAUAUGUGCUUUUUUAACCGUUUUUGGAAGUUUCUGUUUUUGUUUUACUCAAUUAUGGUCUUCCCCAACUUGUCUGAGAUUCAUUGUGCAAGAAUAACCAAGGCCAUGUGUUUAACCUCUCCCUGCGACCAGCUAUAGUCGCCUGAAAGAUGUUUUAUAAUCCUUUCAGUGCAGAAAUCCAGUGAAAUUGAUACAAAUUCUUGCUUUAAUUGAGAGUCAUUGUGCCAACUAUUUUGAUCAUGACGUGUGUAAAUAUUUUGUUUGCUGUUUUUGAGUGUUUCAUAGCAAAUUUUCUGUCUCGUGCCUUAAUCGUUCGAUUGCGAGACGCGAUUCGAGUACGAAAAAUACGGUCGAGUACGAGUUCGUACACGGGCUUGAGAGAGAGUACGACGACAGUUACACGGGUACGAGUUCGUGUUUUGAGUUCGAAUGCGAACAAAGUUCGUGUUUGAGCUCGAGUCCGAACAAAACUAUUUCGAGUACGCAAAAAAAUAGACGAGUAAGAGUUCGUGUACGGGGUUGAGUGAGAGUACGUAUAAAGUAACACGGGUACGAGUUCGUGUUUGAGUUCGAAUGCGAACCAAGUUCGUGUUUGAGCUCGAGUCCGAACAAAGCUAUCGAGUUCGAGUACGCAAAAAAUACACUAGACGAGUACGAGUUCGUAUACAGGGUUGAAUAAGAGUACGACUGACAAAGUUACACGAGUACGAGUUCGUGUUUGAGCUCGAGUGCGUAUUAAGCGAGUAGCCUAUUAUACAAGUUGGUGUUCGAGUAAAAAGAUAUACAUGAGUAUACGAGUACUUUAGCUGCUACUGACUACCACCUUCUAACUUCGACACAUUUUUUUUUAGGGAAGUUAUGGUGGCCUGUCUUGUAAUAUCCUUAUUUCGCCGUUUCGCGCAAAUUGCAACAAAUGUACUUGAUUUUUUUAAAAAUCUUUCCCAUUCAAUACCUUUUGCUUGAUUAUUGACUUUAUUGACACUUGUUGAGAUUUUCCUUUCGUUAGGGCCAUGUGUAUAAAUCAAACUUUGAAAUUUCAGUCAUGUCUGAACGCUUUCUCGUCGUUCUACAUUGAUACACAUUGUGAAAAAAUUCUAGGGCCAUGUGUAUACAAACCUUUCAUCGAAGUUUUCUAUUAAUGUCUGCCAAACCCAUAUUUUUGUCUUGUACAUUGUAUUUUCUUUUGUUCUUAAUAACUGACAGGUUAUUGCAGGAUUCUAGGGCCAUGUGAACCAAUCUUGCUUUGCCUUUGCAGAAACUCCUUCAAAUUUAUUAUGCAAGAUUACGUAGGGCCAUGUGACAUACAAAUCUCAUAUCCCUCCGAUAUGUGGACAUUUCUCUGAUUGUAUUUUCUUGAAAAAUACAUGCAAAAAAGUCUUUUCAUCCUGCUUUGAGUGUGUAAAAUAUUCCGCAGCAAUUUGUUAAGUUUCAACAGCUAUUUUUGAAGUUUACAAAAUAUAAAAUGCUGGAUCUAAGCUUUUCUAUAUGGGUAUCCCACACCUGUUAUAACUUAAUUGUGAUCUGAAUGAAAUAUUUAAGGACAUGUUCACAAAUCUACAUUAUUUGGCUGUUUAGCAGCAAUUUCCUCAACUGCGACGCCAUGCCCAUCCCUCUUAACGAAAACACCGAGGAUUUCUUGUAAAAAAAAAUGCUAUACCCAAUCAAGUGAUUAUCGUUUCCCUUUGAACAGGGUCGCGUUACUUUCGGCUACCUUGAAUUAAAUAUGUCUUAUUUAAUUAUAUGUCCUAUUCACAUUGAUUAUUUUUUUGUGAUAUGUUCUUCUGUAAUAGGUCUGAUCCGUAAAUAUUGGUAAUGCCUGCUGUGUUAGGGCCAUGGUGGUAAUGUUACUAAUAAUCAGGUGAUGACACCUGUUUCGUCGAAUACACCCCAUAUUCACUUUGUGAAGUGUCUGUAAUGAGUAUACACAGUGAAACAAAGUAUUGAUUUUUUUUUAAAGACCCACAAAAUCACAGUGGAGGUUUUGAUCAACAUUAACUUUUCAAUUCGGGUAAGUCCGAUCAGCACAGGUCGGCAAUGUGAAUAUUGUUUCCCUUUGAACAGGGUCGCAUUACUUUCGGCAACCUUGAAUUAAAUAUGUCCUAUCCUAAUUAUAUGCCCUAUUGACAUUGAUUAUUGUUUGUGAUAAUGUAAUUCUUCUGUAAUAACUCUGAUCCGUAAAGAUUAGUAAUGUCUUUUGUGUUAGGGCCAUGGUCACAAUGUUGCUAAUAAUCGGGCGAUAAUACUUGUUAGGUCGGAUACAAUCCAUAAUGGCUCCCCAGUCUACAGAGUAAAACAAAAGUAGUUCAUUGAUAUUUUUAAGAUCCGCAAAACGUGUGGAUUUGACUGACCAAUUAACUUUUCAAUUUCGACAAGUCCGAUCAGCACAGAUCGGCAAUGUGAAUAUUGUUUCCCUUUGAACAGGUUCGCCUUGCCUUCGGCCAACUUGGUACAAUAUCUAUAGAUGGCUGCAUCCGAAUUAACUGUCUAGAGCUAGGUCUAGGUCCACGCCCAUUGAAAAUACGCGCGGGGGCGCGCUGACAAUAGACGUAGCUGUAGCUCUGGAAGCCCGUUUCGGACACGGCCUUAUAAGAGACUCCGCAACCAGUAGUCCAAGUGAUAUUUAGAAUAGUCGACUAACUUGACUGUUCUCAUUCUCUAAGUGGUCAGGUAAGGGCCACUAAUUGGAUUCCUCUGACUGUCUGUACUUUGCAGACAGUAGACCAAAAAAUAGUUUCCCAUUUUCUUUGCUUAUACCCAUUGAUGUGGUCAGGUAAGGGCCACUGAAUGAGACUUUACCUACUUAGGCCUAGUUAUCCAGAAAGUUUGGCCCAAAAUUACGUUUCCAUUUGUCUAUGGUUGUAUCUUUCAUUACAGUGGUCAGGUAAGGGCCACUGAAUGAGACUUCACCUAUUAGGCCUAGUUAUCCAGAAUGUUUGGUCCAAAAGUGCGUAUGGUUGUAUCUUUCAUUACAGUGGUCAGGUAAGGACCACAUUUUCCCCUCGUUUCACCAAAAUAACGGUCACUAUUUUGACCAAGAAUUGACUGUACAUAUUUACUGACUUAACCUAGCCCCGCUAGGUAGAAUUGUUUUCUUUUUUUGUAAGUCCAUUUUCAGCCACUUGCAGUUAGAUAAUGAGACAUGCGAGCCCGAGUGUUCCUGUCAGAUGUGGAGGAACCGGAAGCAGGGAGGAAGAACUACGGAUGACUGAGGACCCUGCUUGCAGGGCAUCCCAUUACUGCUUCCAUGGAGAUGAGGGUCUACAAGAUCAGAUGUCAUUCUUGACGAAGUUACGAUCGAUUCUAAUUCCCAAGGAGCCGGAAGCAGGGAGGAGGACCGACGGAAGGACUGAUGACCUGCUUGCAGAGCAAGUCUUCACCAAUUAUUGAGAUUCCUUUUGCCUCGUGUAAUAAGAAGCAGAAAGAGUGGCAAUAUUCAUUACGGAGUGCAGUUCUUCACUACGACAGGAAUUAACACGAAUUUUAAGCAACAUCCCACUUUCAGUUUUACUUUAAUGGCUCCUGAACAUUCCCAGUACGUUUCUCUCUAAAAAUUCGAGGUGUUGACACUGAGAACAUGCAUCUUGAUCCUCACCUUCACCAUUGAUGUUUAAGCUGAUUGACACGAAAAUUUCCCCUCUUAAAGAGUUUACGUAGCGUAUUAAACCCAGUCUUCCUAAACCAAAUAAGAAACGCUUCUACUAAAACAAUUCAUGAAAAAAAUAUAUUCUAGGAGGUUACACUGAGCAUUUAACUCAGUCUUCCGAAACCAAAUAUGAAACAUUAUUACUAAAAUAUUUAAGGAAACAAUAUACAUGUACUCUACGAGGUUACAUGGAUGAUUAAUAUGUCUUCUGAAACCAAAUUAGAAAUAUUAUUACUAAAACAGUCCAUUGAGAAAAACGAUA